ACCCGACUGACAAGUCCCAAAUAGGACGAAGCGAUCGUCUUGGAU
rnacentral:hammerhead_ribozyme from 1 species